rnacentral:lncRNA from 10 species
UAGGAGGGUGACCAUGAGCAAGAGAUGAUCAGGCAGAAGGCUGUGAUGGGGAAAGGAGCACAUGGACAGGCAUUAAGCUGACAACUGUCAAGAACUGUCCCCUGCCAUUUCACCUGAGCUGACCUGAUCUCCCCAGGGGAAUGAGCCUCGUCUUGCAAGUCCCCUUCUUUGGGUCCCUGGCAGCGCUGCUGCAGGAUACAAGGAACAGGAUGCUAUGACGAGAUAUGCAUUGAGAAGCUUCAGUCCUGCCUCCAUCCUUAUCUUCUUCUCCCUGGACCAAAAGUGAUAAUUGUCAUUUGAUCCUUAUUUAUUUUUAGAAAUAAAACUCUUAUGCAGAUACCAACACAUACAAAUCUGUAUUCUUAUACCCUCUAUUUCUUACACACAAGGUAGCAUAUUAUAUUCACUGCUUGACAUGUUACUAUAUUUAUUUGUACUUUAUUGAGCUAUAACAUAUACAGUAAAAUAUACAAAACAUAAUGCAUAGGCCAGUGAAUUUUUUCCUUUUUUUAAAUUUAUUUUUCUUGUAUGACUAUUAAAAACAGCUUUAUUGAGGUCCAAUUGAUAUAUAAUAGUAAACUGGAAUAUAUACACACCCAUGAACCAUCACCAUAAUUGAAAUAAUGAAAAUAAUCAUCACCUUCAAAAGUUUCCUCUUAGGCCAGGUGUGAUGGCUUAUGCUUGUAAUCCCAGCACUUUGAGAGUCUGAGGUGGGAGGAUCACUUGAGCCCAUGAGUUCAAGACCAGCCUGGACAACAUGGCAAAACUCCAUCUCCACAAAAAAAUACAAAAAUUAGGUGGUGUAUGUCUGUAGUCCCAGCUACUCAAGAGGCUGAGGCAGGGGGAUCUCCUGAGCCCAGGAUGUUGAGACUGCAGUGAGCCCUGAUCAUGCCCCUGCACUCCAGCCUGGGCGACAGAGUGAGAUCCUGUCUAUAAAUAAAGUUUCCUCUGGCCUCUAUAUUUUCUUAUUAGCUUGUAAAGGUGAGCAGAUUGAUGAGUUGGGUUGAAGAUAUCUAACAUUAAGCUGAUCACAACCUCAUGGUUCCUUCCUAGAGGCUCCUUUAGUUUCUUUCUUUUCUUUUCUUCUCUUCUCUUUUUUUUUUUUCCGAGACAGGGUCUCACUCUGUUGCCCAUGCUAGAGUGCAGUGGUAUGAUCAUAGCUCUCUGCAGUCUUAAAUUCCUGGUCUUAAGCAAUGCUCCUACUUCAGCCUCCCAAGUAGCUGGGACUACAGGGGUGUGCCACCAUGUCCGGCUAUUUUUUGUAGAGACAGAGUUUCACCAUGUUUCCCAGGCUGUUCUCCUAGUGUCAAGAGAUCUGCUCGCCUCAGCCUCCCAAAGUGCUGGGAUUACAGACAUGAGCCACCGUGACCAGCUGAGUCUGCUUUUGUUUCUUAAGAAUCCAGGAACUAGGUAAUAAAUGUAUGUCUUUGCUACUCCUAAGUCUUAUUAAUCACUUACAUUUCUGACAAUUAAUCAUUGGACCUCAAGGGACUUUGAUAAGAUUAAUUUGAAGUUCUCAGCAGUAGAAAGUUUAUUUUGUCAGUCUGCAAAGCUUCUGGUGUCAGAGGUUCUGGUUCAGGGCUGUUUGACUCAAAGAACCAAGGGACUCUUGGAAAAAGAAACAAGACUUACAUGGAAUUUCAGGAUCUCCAUUGUUUAUAAGCCAUAAUUCUGGGAAGAAGGAAAUGAACUCUAAUUAAGCACCUCUAUGGGUCAGAUACUUUAUAUAAAACAAAGAAUUUAAUCCUCAACAAUAACCUGCCACAGAGAUGAGAUUAUCACCAUUUUUACAGAAGAGGAAAUAGGAUCUGAGAGCCUAAGCAACUUGCCCAAGGUGACUCAGUAAGUGGCAUGAGCUGGAGUUGAAACCCAGAGCUAUAUUGCUAUAGAGCCCAUCCUUUCUAUUUCAUGGCCCUACUCUCUGUCCCCUGCCCCUAGAUAAUAUUAACAAUUGAUAGACAGAUAAGUAGAUAGAUAGAUAAAUAGAUACAGAUACACACACAUAUAUCUGUAUAUCAGGAUGUGCUAUAUAUUACAUUUUAUUUAUUUCCAAAGGCCUUAGGAAAAAAACAAUAGCAGUGUAGAACAUGAAGGCAAAUGGUUACAAAAUACAUGGAUACGUGUAUUUUACUGCUGAUAUAAAUUUAUGUCUAUUGAGUUAUUCCCAAGUUAACAAGGACCGAGAAGUUACUGUGGCCUAAGAAUUGUGCUCUGCAUGUUGGUAGAGACAAAAUAAGCAGCGUCUACUGGCAAAGACUGUAUCAUGUUGCCGGAGAAGUGAAGCAUUAAGUAGAAACUGUGUGUAGUGGCUGUGAGGGCAGCAUGGUUCUGCAAAGGGCUUGAUUGGCGGGAAGAGGAUUAGAUUCCCGCAUGUGUAGUUGGGAAUCUGAUCUGUAAAAGCCAGACACUGAGGUUUUGAUGUCUUUCUCCAGUUCACACAAAGAGCUAAUAGCUGGGCUGGGACUAUGUCUUAAGCAUCCUGGAUAGUUAACAUCUUACCAACCUCUGUCUUCCCCAAAAGCUGCAAUCUCCAUAUGCAGGAGCCAACAUCAGUUUGCUGCAAGGGAGGAGAAUGAGGACUAUUGUAUCAACUGGAGUCCCAUAGAAAACAAAUGACACACUCAAAAGGGGUGAUCAAGAGUUCCAUGGAGGGGCCGUUGACAAAGGUAGAGCCGGUUUAGAGAAAAGCAAUAAGGGAUGCGGAAGCCUCAGGAUCAGCAGCAGCAGGAAGCCACUGGCACCGAGUGCCAAGGGGUAGGGAGCGGUAGCUGAGGUGUGGUGAGCUGUAGGUACAGAAGCACUGCUAUUGCUGCAUCAGAGGUAUCAAUAUUCCAUCCUCACUCUCUCAAUGCCCUCUGAUCACACGCCUGGUGCCCUGGAAGACAGAGGUCACUGGAGCUGUGUGGUUGCAGUCGUUAGAGGUCAGCUUCCUGGCUGCAGCACAGUGCAGAAAGGAAAUGGACAGAGAGUGGUUCUGGCAGGACAGAUGGAGACUAUCCAGUGCAAAAUCCAUGCUGGGGAAAUUUAAGAGUUUUCUUGGGAGUGCAUUAAAGGAGCUAUUGCAGGUGCCUUAGAAUCUCAGAGUCUUAAAGUCACUCCCUUCCAUAAUCCAAUAGCUUGUUCUUGUUCUCAGGAAAGCUCUAUAAACCCAGGGCCUUAUUCUUAUUGUAGUCAUCAUUUCCAGCAGAGCACAGAUUCAAGAGCCAGCUGUUUAACUCAUGACCUUGCUGAAGAGGUGGUAAUGGGGCUAUUCUUAGUGAUCACAUUGUUAUGGGUUAGCAACUUGAUGUUCAAGGUAGUGGGCACCUAGAUAUCUCUGAAUGAUGGUGUUUGUUGGUUUGAAAGAGGUCUCCCUCAUUAAUUCAUUAUCUUGCUGGAGAGGCAGUUGCAUUUUGGCUUCAGCCUUUAAAUGAUAGUGGCUCUAUUUCCGACUUGCUUGGAAACUAUUAUUAACUAUUAUUCCCAACAAUACACUUGCAUAUUUGACAAUCUAGAAACCAAAUUUAGCCAUGCAAAUUAUAGACAACUGCUCUCUUAUAAUGUCACUGUGAUGUCCCAGUUUUUAAGAAAUGGAAGAUUAACAAAGCCAGCUUCAAAUGCUUAAAACAAUAUUUUAUGUAAGAAGCCAUUUUCCCCCAGAGAUGCAUAGACCUGUAAAAUGUUUCCAGAGCUCUUUGGAAGAUAACCAAUAUUUCUCUCAAAGGAAGGGGAAGUAGCAGAACAUCAAAUAUACGCAAAAACCCUUCAAAGCUGGAAGUGCCAUCAGCUUACUAAGGAAUUAUGUUAAAAAUAAGGGAAACUUAAGAGGUCACUUAAAUGAUUUAAACACCAUAUUUUCCCUCUUCUCCAAAAAUCCCCCAAGACAAUGCUCAUAAUGUUAGACUGACCUUUUAGCAUAUGUGAUUUUAGUGAAAGACAUUUCUCUUCUUCUAAAUAUAUCUCAAACCAUUCUUAAAAGUAAUGAUUUCUCAUUAAGGCUCUUGCACCUGCUUGUGAAGAAAAGACAUCUGACCUUUAAAAAAUAUUCCAUGGGUCUGAAUCAUCUAAGUAUAUUGUAGCUUUAUUCUUGCAGACAAGGGAAACCAAGAAUGAUCUGGAUAAUGGAGAAACCUGUUAAUACAACUGGAUUUGAAUCACACUACUGGCUGAAAUUCACACAACCGGAUUGGGAUCCCACUGUGUAAUUUUAGGAUGCUCAAGCAUCAUGGCAUCAUUUCCAGUGGAGUCGCUGAACUUGUAGGUUGUCUACCUGACACCUCGAGGUCCUUACACCAAGAAGUCAGCUGUGAAGCCCGCUGAGUCCUCGGGUGGAUGUCUGCCACCACAUACAUAGCCUUUGCUGGUGGCUUGGAGAGCUGGCAGGUCAGCCACAGAAAGUGGGCAAGACCUAGUCAGUAGCGACAGGAUAUGUUCCCAGGAUGGACAGCUGCCUGAUAUGCGUUCAGUUCCAGUGCCAAAGCCAAGGGCUGCCAGUGCCCUUCCUUCAUGCUAAGGACUUCUCUCUCUCCAGGACAGCGGAUGCCUGUUUGGAAGGCUGGAUUGGACUGAGCCACAUGGCAGAGCCUUGGAGAUGGCAGGGGAGGGAAGUCGAAGACAUGGAGUGGUUUGACAUUUGUGCAUAGUAUGAAGAAAGAUCAUCAAGGCUGAAAUGUGUCUGCUAAGAGGCUUCAGCUCAUGUUUGCUAAUCUCCUGUAUGGUGAAACACUGGCACCCAGACAAACCCUCAUUCACAUCAGAACAAAGCGCUAGUUAUGUGUGUUGAAAUUCCUUAAAGAAAAUGUCUUGCAGGCUGCUGGGGAGUGCGUGAAUGCUGGAAAUGCUUCACCAAGAGUUACUCAAUGUCCUGGGAAGACGGUCUGCUGGCAUCUGAGGGCUCACCCUAGAGAAGAGUGGUUGUACUCCAGGGCACAUGGGUCUGGUGAGGACAGAGAAGCAUGGGUGGAUGGGUGGGUGGAGAUGAGGGUGGAUGUUUUCUCUGUAAUCGUCUCCGGCCAGGCUGGAGCCCGAACCAGACUACCCACUUUAUUAGUCCAUUGAGAAUAUCUAAAGUCAGGCUUCUCAGCACAGCUGCCAUUUCCCCUGCUUGGGACCAGAUUUUCCUGUUUUCUGAGGGCUUCCAAGUAAGUUGGAAGUUCCUUGGGUUUCCACAACUUUGACUUAAUGAAGAAACAAGGUCAAGAAUCAGAGGAAAGGUUUUUGGAUGGGCCUCAGAGGUCUGAAAUGGUUAGGUGGGAGUCUAAAGGUAUAGGAGAGAAACUAAAUCAGUUGUAGCCCCAGCUGUUUGGAGAUGAUGCCAGCAGAUGGGAUUGAGUAAGCGACCACAGGUUGCAGAGGGUGGCAGAUGGGAGGCGGAUGUGGAAAUGGGGUCCCAGUCAGAAAUGAACACCACUAGAGGAGCAGGAAGAAGGGCCAAGCAAGAGCAGUGGUUCUCAUUGUGGUUUCUGGACUAGCGGCGGCAGCAGCACCCACGAUGUAGAUGUCAACUCUUAACUCCACUCGGAAACCCACUGAAUCAGAAACUCAGGUGGUGAAGCCCAACCAGCGGUACUUGAAUAAGUCCUCCAGUGAGUCUGAUGGACACUAAAGUUUAAGAACCACUGAGUCAGGGAACCCCAAGGGAGGCAAUUGCUAAGGAACUGCAAGAGAGGAAUUAGGGGCUGGGCCAGGGGCCAGGCGCGGUGGCUCACACCUGUAAUCCCAGCACUUUGAGAGGCUGAGGCAGGAGAAUGGCUUGAGCCCAGGAGUUCAAGACUAGCCUGGGCAACAUAGUGAAACCCUGACUCUACAAAGAACACAAAAUUGGCCAGGCAUGGUGGUAGCCACCUGCAGUCCUAACUACUCGGGAGGAUCACUUGAGCCUGGGAGAUGGAGGUUGCAGUGAGCUGAGAUCACACCUCUGGGCUACAGCCUGGGUGAUAGAGCAAGACCCCAUCUCAAAAAAAAAAAAAAAAAAGACGGCAGGAUUAGGGAAACUUCUAGAAUGAGGAGGAGAUGGCCCUGAAAGCACAGGGGGACAAGGAGAGUGAACUGAAAAGUAGAAAGAAGUUCUUCUCCAUAAGAAAAAAAGGUGAUGAGAGCUACAAUAAAAAACUACUAGUCACAACGGCUGCAGCUCAAGGUAGCCUGGAUUCUUGAUAAGCACACACCCGCCACUGGUGUCACGCUGAAGCUGGAAGGACCGCCUCUGCUAACAACAGUGAAGAACAAAUGUGGAUGCAAAUGGCUCUUAGAAGUCAGACAAAGGGAAGUUGCAUUGCUGAGAUUCACCUGCAGGUCCCAGCAUGGCUCAUUUGUUCUCUGGAGUAGUGGGUUGAAUGGUAGCCCCCCGCCCCCAUAGAUAUCCUAACCCCUAGAAUCUGUGAACGUGAUCUUAUUGUGGCAGCAGGCCUGUAAUCCAAGCUACUCUGGAAGCUGAAGGGGGAGGAUUUCUUGAGGCCAGAGGUUCGAGACCGGCCUAGGCAACAUAGCAAGAGACCCCUUCCAUCUCCAAAAAAUGAAGGAUAUCCAGAUGAGAUCAUCCUGGAUUAUCUGAGUGGGUCUUAAAUCCAAUGACAUCCAAAUUUAUAAGAGAUGAAAGAGGAGGAAAAGAGAGAUAUGCAGAGGAGAAGGUGAUGGGAAGAUGGAGGCAGGAAUUGGAGUGACACAUCCAUAAACAUGUAGACAUAAAGGGAAUGCCUGUAGUCACCAGCAGUGGGAAGAGGUAAGGCGGGAUUGUCCCGCAGAGCCUUCAGAGGAGGCAUGGCCCUGCUAACACCUUGAUUUUUGGACUUCUGACCUCCAGAAAUGAAAGAAAAUAAAUUACUAUUGCUUUAAGCCACCAAAUUUGUGGUGAUUUAUUAUAGCAGCUCUAGGAAAUUAAUAUACCUGGCUUAAGGGAAGAGGCAUGGGAUUUGAAGACAGACAGACUGGUGUCUUGAACUUUUUGAAUGUUACUCCCUAGGGUGGGAUGUGAACUCUGAGUCACAGCAGUCCCCACGUGGCUUGAGUCCCUCAUUACUUUAGCUAUCUGCCUCCUAUGAGCAUCUUAGCUUUGUAUCCUCUGGGUAACUUCACCUCUCCAGUCUUCUCCACCUUUGACAUCUUAUUAUUCCAGCAAGGGGGGUGGGGAAGGUGGAUUACCUCAAAUCUUUGGAGCAAUGUUUGGGGAUGAUGUAGUCUACCAUCCUUUGAAUAGCUUGGCUGAUUUACCAUUGAGGAAGAAAGAAAUUUCUUCUUGAGAUGUAGUGUGAUGCCUUUUUCAGAACCAGCCACUCUAGUGAUUUUUAAUAAAAAAAAUUAUUGUCUCAUGGCUGGGUUUCUGUCAUUCCUUCCAGAAGGUGGGAGGCUGUGAGUUUGGAAAAUUAGUGUCUGGUGACUGUGGGUGAGAAGGCCCUUUCCUACAUAACAGAAGAAAUAAACAC